rnacentral:rRNA from 1 species
GACGGAGGAUGCAAGCGUUAUCCGGAAUUAUUGGGCGUAAAGCGUCCGCAGGUGGACAUACAAGUCUGCUGUCAAAGUGCAGAGCUUAACUCUGUAAAGGCGGUGGAAACUGUAGGUCUUGAGUAUGGUAGGGGUAGAGGGAAUUCCCGGUGUAGCGGUGAAAUGCGUAGAUAUCCGGAGGAACACCAGUGGCGAAGGCGGCCACCUGGGCUGUACCUGACGCUCAAACACGAAAGCUAGGGGAGCGAACGGG